rnacentral:rRNA from 1 species
AAACCAGCACCUCAAGUGGUCACGAUGAUUAUUGGGCCUAAAGCAUCCGUAGCCUGAUCUGUAAGUUUUCGGUUAAAUCUGUACGCUCAACGUACAGGCUGCCGGGAAUACUGCAGAUCUAGGGAGUGGGAGAGGUAGACGGUACUCGGGAGGAAGUGGUAAAAUGCUUUGAUCUCUAGAUGACCACCUGUGGCGAAGGCGGUCUACCAGAACACGUCCGACGGUGAGGGAUGAAAGCUGGGGGAGCAAACCGGAGUAGAUACCCUAGUAGUCC